GGAAGAACUGAGCAUACAGAGUGUCUUGAAACGUGCUCCUGCAUGAACACAUCAUGGCUGGGAAAAGGGUCAAGGCUGGGAAAAAAGGCACUGUAAGGAGUGGAGACCUGCUCUACCCAGUCACCUAUUGGACUUGCAACGGGAGGCCAUAAGAGACCAAGGAGGUAGCAGCUUGUAGGCACAAGGCCAUUUCUCCUUGCAGCCUCAGCUAGGAAUUCAUUGCCAAGAAAAACAACAGAGCCACACCAGCACUCUGCAGAUGUCAGUGUCUUCAGUGGUGCCACCCCACUAUGAGUAAACCCCAGUACUCCGGGCUGCACACGUGCCACUGAGAUUCAGCAAACUGGAGCCUGAUCCUCAGGCACACCGAAGUGGGACAGGGACACGCUGCCUCCCUCACCAAAGGAGAGCAAGACUGCCUUGGGAGUAAGAGGGCUUCAGUAUCACCUUGCCUGCCUCACACCAUGCUGCACAGAG